rnacentral:rRNA from 1 species
AUGGCGGAGGAACCGUCUACCAAGCAUCAUCAUGCCGAGACGUCGGACAAGAGGAGCAACCUCGUCGACAUUAAAGUCCCCGGCGAGAAGCGCAACUACACCAGAACGCUCAAAGGGGUUGAGCUCCACGGCAAGGAGACGCUGGAGAUCGUCUGCACCAGCGAACCAGACAAGGCCGAUGAGGUGAUCUCCAUGCUGUAG